rnacentral:rRNA from 1 species
GACGAACGCUGGCGGCAUGCCUAAUACAUGCAAGUCGGGCGGAGUUAUGAUGGAGCUUGCUCCUGAUUAACUUAGCGGCGGACGGGUGAGUAACACGUAGGCAACCUGCCCUCAAGACUGGGAUAACUACCGGAAACGGUAGCUAAUACCGGAUAAUCUCUUUCCUCUCCUGAAGAGAGAAUGAAAGGCGGAGCAAUCUGCUACUUGGGGAUGGGCCUGCGGCGCAUUAGCUAGUUGGUGGGGUAAUGGCUCACCAAGGCGGUGAUGUUUAGCGGGGUUGAGAGACUGAUCCGCCACACUGGGACUGAGAUACGGCCCAG